rnacentral:rRNA from 1 species
AUGAAGGUCUCCGUGAAGACGCUCAAGGGCUCCAAAUUCGAGAUCGAAGUGAACCCCGCGGACAAGGUUUCUGAUGUAAAGAAGCUCAUUGAGAGUUCACAAGGGCAGAAUGUGUACCCAGCUGAUCAACAAAUGCUCAUUUACCAAGGGUCAGUUCUUAAGGAUGAGACUACGUUGGAGGAAAACAAAGUUGUUGAAAACAACUUUCUUGUGAUAAUGCUUAGACAGAAUAAAGGCUCAUCAAGUGCAGCUCCAGCUAAAUCCAAGGAACCCUCAAAUCAGGCACCCCCUACUCAGACAGUGCCUGCUACUCCUGCCUCUCAAGCACCAGCCACACCAGCACCUCAAGCAGUGGCUGCGCCAGCACCUAUUGUACCUGUUAGUGCUCCUGGUCCAGCUGCCACCGCCUCCCCAGCUCCUGCUGUUGCUGUCUCCACUGAAGCAGAAACUUAUGGUCAGGCUGCUUCAAACCUUGUCGCGGGAGGCACCCUAGAGGCAACAAUUCAGUCAAUUCUUGAAAUGGGCGGUGGAACAUGGGACAGAGACACUGUGCUGCGUGCCCUACGUGCUGCAUUCAACAACCCGGAGCGGGCUGUUGAGUAUUUAUAUUCUGGUAUUCCUGAGCCGAUGGAGAUUCCUGCACCACCACCAAGUGCCCAGCCAGCUGAUCCUGCCCAGGUUUCACAAGCAGCUCAACCUGCAGUUGCCUCUUCUGGUCCUAAUGCUAGCCCCUUGGACCUCUUCCCUCAAGCCCUGCCAAAUGCUUCAGCAAAUGCUGCUGGUGAAGGAAAUCUGGAUGUUCUACGAAACAAUGCACAGUUCCGAAGCUUACUUUCUUUAGUGCAGGCCAACCCUCAAAUCUUACAGCCAUUGCUUCAAGAGCUGGGAAAGCAAAACCCUCAGAUUUUGCAGCUGAUUCAGGACAACCAAGCAGAGUUCCUUCGUUUAAUCAAUGAGCCAGCUGAGGGUGAUGAAGACGAGAAUCUCCUGGAGCAGUUUGCUGAGGGAGUGCCCCAGACCAUAGCUGUCACUCCUGAGGAGAAUGAAGCUAUACUUCGUCUUGAAGGAAUGGGCUUUGACCGGGCGCUUGUUCUGGAGGUGUUCUUUGCCUGCAACAAGGAUGAGACCCUGGCCGCAAACUACCUGUUAGACCACAUGAACGAGUUCGACGAUGGAGCGCCGCAGUAA